CUCAUUUCCGGGUCAGAAUAAACAUAGCAACAUUACUAAUAUUGACUGGAAUAUGAAUGGAAGCAUUGAAAAAAGGAGAAAAAAUAAUGUAAUUUGUUCUCGUAACUUGUUUCUAGAUGAAAUUUGUCCCAAGUUUGGGAUAGUUUCAUCUCCAAAGUUUGGAGAAACUUGAUUUAAACGAAAACUCAAUUCAAAUUUCGCCCAAACGUUUUCAUUUUGACGCGGGAUGGUUUGAUCACAAUUCAGAAAAUGAAAUGAACAAUCAGAUAAUACAUAUCUGAUUCAACUGCUCUAUUACGAGAAAAUCUUGGAAAGACAUAAAGAAAUCUUGCAAUCUGCAAGUUUAUAUGUGAUGAUCUGUGUGAGAAAAAAAAAUUGUUAACAAAUUCAUUGAAAUAAAAGAUUUUUACAUGAAAUCCGUGACAGGAGAACCCAGAACAAAAGUUACUUCUAAAAAAUGAAAGCUAUUUAUCAUGAAAAUAUUUUAGUAUUCGUUCAAUAUUAUUUAUAAUUACAAUUUAUACCAUUAUUUUACAAUGAAAAUAAUUUUUUUUACUUUGUAGAAUGUGUGAAACAUUGGCUUUUGGCCAACUACCGUGAAGAUUGGCUGGAAAAGUAUAAUUUGCAAGACAUUUUAAAAAAAUUAGAGUCUCUUAUCUUGGAGAAAAAAUAAGUUAUACAAUUAAACAAUAUGAAGAAAAAAAAAUAAAAGAGAAAAAAUUGGAAAG